CGGCAACAGCUCAAAUUUGAAAUCUGGCUCUUUCAGGGUCCGAGUUGUAAUUUGUAGAGGAUGCUUUUGGCAAGACGCCUUCUGAGUCCCCUGGAACGGGGCGCCAUAGAGGGUGAGAGCCCCGUACGGUUGGACGUCGCGCCUCUGUAAAGCACCUUCGAC
rnacentral:rRNA from 1 species